GCGUGUGUUUGUGUGUGUGUGUGUGUGUGUGUGUGUGUGUGUGUGUGUGUGUGUGUGUGUGUGUGUGUGUGUGUGUGUGUGUGUGCGCGUUUAUAUAGAAUGAUAAUCAACAACAAGGUGUUUCGAUGCACAUUGUGGAUUGCAUUUGAGACAACUUCCUGUAAAAGCUUACGUUGUAACAGCUAUAAACAUUCAGUCCUUCCCCAUCUCUCUCUCUCUCUCUCUCUCUCUCUCUCUCUCUCUCUCUCUCUCUCUCUCUCUCUCUCUCUCUCUCUGUCAGUAGUCAGUAUCAUGUAAUAAAUAGACUUCCUUGAAAGCAUGGUGUGUGUGUGUGUGUGUGUGUGUGUGUGUGUGUGUGUGUGUGUGUGUGUGUGUGUGUGUGUGCUGUAAUGGAAAAAUAAUCAACGACUGGGUUCUGUGAUGCGGGUUUUGAAACGCCUGAGAGACAAGAUACUUCCUGUUAAUGCAUAACAGCUAUAUACAGUCAGUCCUUCACCUUCAAGAGUGCUUCUCCUCAUAACACUGGUUUCAAGUAUAUUGGAGUUUUAGCCUUCCUUACUGGAAGCUGACUGGUUGUGUGGGUUUUAUCAGGGUUCUCCAGUUAUCUCCAGCCUCUGAAACACACUUCGCACCCAGUGGAUACACUCUGGAUACUGACUAUUGUAUAACAGUUACUGAUAAUCAUUGAAUAAAUGAUUAUAACAUAUAUAAAAUCCUUAUUUGAUGUACAAAAAAGUACUCAUGUUCUCAAGUACUCAUUUCAAAUUCUGUUACUCAUUCGCACAGACUGUAAUCUUUUAUUUUCUGUUUUUCUAUUUCGCCAUUGCUCCGUUUAAACUAUCUGGGAUGGAUUCAACACAAAUGAGGCUAUCUGUGUUGUAUUUGAAAUAUGAAUAGUUUUUGUACCUAUGUAUACAAAAGUCAGGCCAAAAUACAGCUAUAUAUACCAUGUCAUCUUCUGAUUGCCAUGAAUCAACAUUUAACAGUUAUUAAGGUGAAUUCGAGAGGGUUUUUUGUGGUAGCAUGUAUUUUAAGUGGGGUUUCUGCCUCCUAUCAACAAUUCCCCACUAUUCACUCUCAUCUAGUAAAAACAAGACCUCCAGUACACCAAAGUUACGUUUUCAUACCAAACACGAACAGGACUGAAAAAAUAUACAAUCUGGCAACCCUGACCUUUCUCCUCCCUACACAUGAAGCAAUGCUAUAGGUUCUGUGCCAGAGUCUUUCAGUCAGACCACUGUGACCAAUUCUGGUGCUUUCGUCCUCUUGUAUUGCACAUCAUUUAAGUGUUAUUGUUCUUUUUCAACAUCCAUUUCAUAAUUAGAGUAUGAAAACUAAAGUUUGUAUUGUAUACAGUAUGUGUAAACUCAUUUGCAUGUUCUUGUUAAUUACUGGUGAUAUUAUUCACCUUUUAGGUUAUACACACAUUUAUACACAUUUCAUUUAUAUGGAGUUUGUUGUAUGUGUUGUUGUUUUUUUUUUUCCACUUUUAAAAAUUUGCUCUUUAAAAUUCUCUGAACCCCAAAAUGGAUAACGUUAUAAGUUAUAUGUCGAUGUCUAUUAAUAAAACUUGCAUAUUCAUAGU